rnacentral:rRNA from 1 species
UACGAAGGGGGCUAGCGUUGUUCGGAAUCACUGGGCGUAAAGCGCACGUAGGCGGGUUCUUUAAGUCAGGGGUGAAAUCCCGAGGCUCAACCUCGGAACUGCCUUUGAUACUGGGAAUCUUGAGUUCGGGAGAGGUGAGUGGAAUUGCGAGUGUAGAGGUGAAAUUCGUAGAUAUUCGCAAGAACACCAGUGGCGAAGGCGGCUCACUGGCCCGAUACUGACGCUGAGGUGCGAAAGCGUGGGGAGCAAACAGG